rnacentral:rRNA from 1 species
UCAGUCGACUCCUACGGGGAGGCAGCAGUGGGGAAUAUUGCACAAUGGGGGAAACCCUGAUGCAGCCAUGCCGCGUGUGUGAAGAAGGCCUUCGGGUUGUAAAGCACUUUCAGUAGGGAGGAAGGUAGUGUAGUUAACACCUGCAUUAUUUGACGUUACCUACAGAAGAAGCACCGGCUAACUCCGUGCCAGCAGCCGCGGUAAUACGGAGGGUGCGAGCGUUAAUCGGAAUUACUGGGCGUAAAGCGCAUGCAGGCGGCCUGUUAAGUCAGAUGUGAAAGCCCGGGGCUUAACCUCGGAAUUGCAUUUGAAACUGGCAGGCUAGAGUCUUGUAGAGGGGGGUAGGAAUUUCAGGUGUAGCGGUGAAAUGCGUAGAGAUCUGAAGGAAUACCAGUGGCGAAGGCGCCCCCCUGGACAAAGACUGACGCUCAGAUGCGAAAGCGUGGGGAGCAAACAGGAUUAGAUACCCUGGUAG